rnacentral:rRNA from 1 species
AUACGUAGGGGGCGAGCGUUGUUCGGAAUGAUUGGGCGUAAAGGGCGCGUAGGCGGCCCGGUAAGUCUGGAGUGAAAGUCCUGUUUUUAAGAUGGGAAUUGCUUUGGAUACUGUCGGGCUUGAGUGCAGGAGAGGUAAGUGGAAUUCCCAGUGUAGCGGUGAAAUGCGUAGAGAUUGGGAGGAACACCAGUGGCGAAGGCGACUUACUGGACUGUAACUGACGCUGAGGCGCGAAAGUGUGGGGAGCAAACAGGAUUAGAUACCCUGGUAGUCCACACUGUAAACGAUGAAUGCUAGGUGUAGGGGGUAUCGACCCCUUCUGUGCCGCAGUCAACACAAUAAGCAUUCCGCCUGGGGAGUACGGCCGCAAGGUUGAAACUCAAAGGAAUUGACGGGG